rnacentral:rRNA from 1 species
AUUGAACGCUGGCGGCAGGCUUAACACAUGCAAGUCGAGCGGGGUGAUGGUGCUUGCACUAUCACUUAGCGGCGGACGGGUGAGUAAUGCUUAGGAAUCUGCCUAUUAGUGGGGGACAACAUCUCGAAAGGGAUGCUAAUACCGCAUACGUCCUACGGGAGAAAGCAGGGGAUCACUUGUGACCUUGCGCUAAUAGAUGAGCCUAAGUCGGAUUAGCUAGUUGGUGGGGUAAAGGCCUACCAAGGCGACGAUCUGUAGCGGGGCUGAGGGGAUGAUCCGCCACACUGGGACUGAGACACGGCCCAGACUCCUACGGGAGGCAGCAGUGGGGAAUAUUGGACAAUGGGGGGAACCCUGAUCCAGCCAUGCCGCGUGUGUGAAGAAGGCCUUAUGGUUGUAAAGCACUUUAAGCGAGGAGGAGGCUCUUUUGGUUAAUACCCAAGAUGAGUGGACGUUACUCGCAGAAUAAGCACCGGCUAACUCUGUGUCAGCCGCCGCCGUAA